ACGAACGCUGGCGGCGUGCCUAAUACAUGCAAGUCGAACGCACGAAGUUGAAGAGCUUGCUCUUUAACCUAGUGAGUGGCGGACGGGUGAGUAACACGUGGGUAACCUGCCCAUUAGAGGGGGAUAACACUUGGAAACAGGUGCUAAUACCGCAUAAUUGUUUUAGCCGCAUGGCUGAGAUAUGAAAGACGCUUUCGGGUGUCACUAAUGGAUGGACCCGCGCUGCAUUAGUUAGUUGGUGAGGUAAUGGCUCACCAAGACCGUGAUGCAUAGCCGACCUGAGAGGGUGAUCGGCCACACUGGGACUGAGACACGGCCCAGACUCCUACGGGAGGCAGCAGUAGGGAAUCUUCGGCAAUGGACGAAAGUCUGACCGAGCAACGCCGCGUGAGUGAAGAAGGUUUUCGGAUCGUAAAACUCUGUUGUUAGAGAAGAACAAGUGGGAGAGUAACUGUUCCCACCUUGACGGUAUCUAACCAGAAAGCCACGGCUAACUACGUGCCAGCAGCCGCGGUAAU
rnacentral:rRNA from 1 species